rnacentral:rRNA from 1 species
UACGGAGGGUGCAAACGUUGCUCGGAAUUAUUGGGCGUAAAGAGCUCGUAGGCGGCUCAGUAAGUCGGGUGUGAAAACUCCAGGCUCAACCUGGAGACGCCACCUGAUACUGCUGUGGCUAGAGUCCGGUAGGGGAGCAUGGAAUUCCUGGUGUAGCGGUGAAAUGCGCAGAUAUCAGGAGGAACACCAGUGGCGAAGGCGGUGCUCUGGGCCGGAACUGACGCUGAGGAGCGAAAGCGUGGGGAGCAAACAGG